GUGAAUCAUCAAAUUUUUGAACGCAAAUUGCACUCUCUUCGGAGAGUAUGCCUGUUUGAGGGUCAGCCUAUAAAAAAUCGACAUCGUUGCUGUUUCGCGGUGGCGUUGGUCGGAAAUUGGUUCUUCUUAAAUCUUUUGGUUUGAAGCGACUUAAAAUCUUCUUUUUGGUUUCAUGAACGUUUCUAAGUUUUUUUUCUUUACACGUUUAUGGUAUUGAUUUUUAUUAGUGUUGACAAUCA
rnacentral:misc_RNA from 1 species